rnacentral:lncRNA from 1 species
CGAAGUGUGAAGAUUGCUAGAGACAUCAUAACGCUAUUUGUGACAAUAUUUAGAAAAUCCAAAUUUCAUUUCAUUUCAUAACUUCAAAUAGUCAACAUUACAAGAAAUUCAAAUACGACAAGUUUAACAAAACAACAUGAUAACAUAACAAAAUUUUGAUACAACAUUUUAAACCCUAACGUCUAUAUGUGUAUCUAGGCAUCAACGCUACUUCAUUUCAUAGCAUCAUCGUCCUCAACCUGUAACAUGUUUAAAAUAAAGUUCAAUGCAAAAGCAAAGGCGAGUAUACAAGUUUGAUACGUACAUAGCUGAAGCCGAAGCAGCGCGUGAUGAGGUGUAACACCUCGAAUUUUUGUGUCCAAUGAUGUGUUAACACGUGUCAUUUGUUUACACGUGGCAUCUAUAAUAAAUAAAGGACUAAUUUUGACAAACCUUGAAAGUAUAUAAAUUCGAGGGUUAUAAAU